GCUGGAGGUGGUGGCCUGUGCCUGAAACCCUGUCCUAGGAAGCAGAGACUAAUGGUCACCCAAAGCAUCUAGUCCACAGGUCCAGUGAGAGGGUUUGUUUCUGAGGGUCUGUAGGUUGAAAGGGCCAGCAUGAAACCACCAGCAGAAUCAGUGUGCUGGUGGCCUGAUUCCUGAUUCUCUGUCCUCACAUGGUGGAGAGGGGAAGUAGCCCUCUGAUGCCUCGUUUGCUUUACACACAGGUUCCACCCUAUUUUGCAGUGAGGAAGCUGAGACUGGUCCUCAGGGAUGUCUGAGUGCGGCCUGGCAGGGGUACAGUCAACAUCCUGGCCUGAGCCACCCACCUUGCCUGGUCCUAUAUCAGUGCUUCUCAAAAUUGAGAAUUUGUGAGAACUGUCCCCUGAGCGAAGAGAGUGAAUAUUUCCACCAGUUUAAGAAUAUCUUCACCACCAGGAGAAACACC